GGUGAAUGCCAGCUGUUGGGGUGCUUGCACCGCAGUAGCGCAGCUAACGCUUUGAGCAUUCCGCCUGGGGAGUACGGUCGCAAGAUUAAAGCUCAAAGGAAUUGACGGGGGCCCGCACAAGCGGUGGAGCAUGUGGUUUAAUUCGAAGCAACGCGCAGAACCUUACCAUCCUUUGACAUGGCGUGUUACCCAGAGAGAUUUGGGGUCCACUUCGGUGGCGCGCACACAGGUGCUGCAUGGCUGUCGUCAG
rnacentral:rRNA from 1 species